rnacentral:snoRNA from 1 species
CCCUGUGUUCGUAAGUGAUCAGGGGAUACCCAUGCCCUGACCGCUGGUAGUGCAGGCAGAGGAAAUAUGGAACGAACUGUCCCAUGCUUGGAAGGUCCACACCCAUGCCUUCCAGUGCUGGGAGUUUUCCCACA